rnacentral:rRNA from 1 species
CUCAGAUUGAACGCUGGCGGAAUGCUUUACACAUGCAAGUCGAACGGUAGAGGGGGCAACCCCUCGAGAGUGGCGAACGGGUGAGUAAUAUAUCGGAACGUGCCCAGUCGUGGGGGAUAACGUAGCGAAAGUUACGCUAAUACCGCAUACGAUCUACGGAUGAAAGCGGGGGAUCGCAAGACCUCGCGCGAUUGGAGCGGCCGAUAUCAGAUUAGGUAGUUGGUGAGGUAAAGGCUCACCAAGCCAACGAUCUGUAGCUGGUCUGAGAGGACGACCAGCCACACUGGAACUGAGACACGGUCCAGACUCCUACGGGAGGCAGCAGUGGGGAAUUUUGGACAAUGGGCGCAAGCCUGAUCCAGCCAUGCCGCGUGCAGGAAGACGGUCCUAUGGAUUGUAAACUGCUUUUGUACAGGAAGAAACACUCCCUCGUGAGGGAGCUUGACGGUACUGUAAGAAUAAGGAUCGGCUAACUCCGUG